rnacentral:rRNA from 1 species
UGAACGCUAGCUACAGGCUAACACAUGCAAGUCGAGGGGCAGCAUGUGGUUGCUGCAACCAAUGAUGGCGACCGGCGCACGGGUGAGUAACGCGUAUCCAACCUUCCCUAUAGUAGAGGAUAGCCCGGCGAAAGUCGGAUUAAUACUCUAUGUUUUCCAAUGCAGACAUCUAAAAUGGAACAAAGGUUCACCGCUAUAGGAUGGGGAUGCGUCUGAUUAGAUAGUCGGCGGGGUAACGGCCCACCGAGUCGACGAUCAGUAGGGGUUCUGAGAGGAAGGUCCCCCACAUUGGAACUGAGACACGGUCCAAACUCCUACGGGAGGCAGCAGUGAGGAAUAUUGGUCAAUGGGCGAGAGCCUGAACCAGCCAAGUAGCCGUGCAGGAAGACGGCCCUAUGGGUUGUAAACUGCUUUUAUACAGGGAUAAAGUGACGUACGUGUACGUUUUUGUAGGUACUGUAUGAAUAAGGACCGGCUAAUUCCGUGCCAGCCGCAGC